AUUGAACGCUGGCGGCAGGCCUAACACAUGCAAGUCGAGCGGAGCGGCGGACGGGUGAGUAAUGCCUAGGAAUCUGCCUGGUAGUGGGGGAUAACGUCCGGAAACGGGCGCUCAUACCGCAUACUAUCAGAUGAGCCUAGGGCGGAUUAGCUAGUUGGUGGGGUAAAGGCCUACCAGGGCGACGAUCCGUAACUGGUCUGAGAGGAGGAUCAGUCACACUGGCACUCAGACACGGUCCAGAAUCCUACGGGAGGCAGCAGUAGGGAAUAUUGGGCAAUGGACGAAAGCCUGAUCCAGCCAGGCCGCGUGUGUGAAGAAGGUCUUCGGAUUGUAAAGCGCUUUAGGUUGAGAAGCGUUACCGACCGAGUAAGCACCGGCUAACUUCGUGCCAGCAGCCGCGGUAAUAC
rnacentral:rRNA from 1 species